ensembl:ncRNA D1044.13 ncRNA
UAGCAGCCGACAUUUCUGGGGUCUAACAUGACAUAGCUAGCAACCUGCACUAUAGGAGUAUGAAACAACUAGCAGCCGAUACAUGACGGGAUUUACAUGAAAACCUAGCGGCGGACGUCUUACGGGAUUUCAAGAGCAAAACUAUGUAGUAGUCGAUAAUUUCUAGUAGCGCGUAACAAGUGACCGGCACCUCCUGGGGCAUA